rnacentral:lncRNA from 1 species
AAAGCAAAUCUUUUGUUGUAUUUAAUGAUUACGAUCACUGUAUUUUGUAUUCGCCUAUUCCUACAACAAAUUAUUGUCAAUGGACCGUACAAGAAGAUGGCUUUUGGCUGACUAACUAUAGAGGGGAUACUUAUAGAGUUUUUGAAUGGUGAACGAUAAUAGUUUAUAAUCUUAUAAUACUUUUCAUUGAAACCUUUACUUUAUAUAAAUAACAAUGCUUCUUUUUUGUUGCAUUACUGAUUUUUAAUCUUGUUGAAUUAUAAGUGUAUAAAUUGAAGUUGAUGAUUUUUUUUAUUAGUAAUAAAAGUUUAAUAAGUAUAAGUUAUGAAAAUAAACCUUAAAUAAAUAAAAGAGAAAAAAAAACACAAAUAGAGGAGAUAAAAGAAAUAACUUUAUAGGAUAAAAAUUUAUAAUAUUAUAAUACUUUUUAUUGAAACCUUUACUUUGUAUAAAUAACAAUGCUUCCUUUUUGUUGAAUUACUGAUUUUUAAUCUUGUUAAAUUAUAAGUGUAUAAAUUGAAGUUGAUGAUAUUUUUUUAUUAGUAAUAAAAGUUUAAUAGGUAUAAGUUAUGAAUAUAAACCUUAAAUAAAUAAAAGAGAAAAAAAAACACAAAUAGAAGAGAUAAAAGAAAUAACUUAUACGUAUGAUAAGUGAUUUAAGGAAAUUAUACAAAUAACACCAAUAACAAGAUUAAGAGAAAACAAAAAUGUGAAAUUGAGAAAAAAAAAUAGGAAAUAAAGAGAUUAAUAGAUUAAUUGAUGAAAGAAAUUAAAUAUAAUAUCCUUUCUAUUCUAUAAAAUCUUAUGUAUAAGAAAAGAUACUAAUAGUAUAGAUGUAAUGAAAGGAAUUAUAAAUAUUACUAUUAAUAAUUCUCAAUAAAAUUUUAACGUGGAAUUUUAUAUGAUUUAAAAUUAGAAGAAAAAAAAAGAUUAAAAAAUGUAAUAGAUAAAUAAUUUUUUUUAAAAAAAGAUCAAAAAGAUACUAAUAGUAUAGAUGUAAUGAAAGGAACUAAAAGUAUUACUAUUAAUAAUUCUCAAUAAAAUUUUAAGGUGGAAUUUUAUAUCAUUUAAAAUUAGAAGAGGAAAAAAGAUUUAAAAAUAUAAUAGAUAAAUAAAUUUAAAAAGAAUAGAUCAAAUUCAUUCAAUGUAGAUUGUAGUCAAACUAGAAAUGUUGAAUUUCUUUAUUCAAAGACUCCAAAACUAGAAAAGGAAUAAAGUCACUACAAAUUAAUAUUGAUAUUAAUAUCUAAAUUAUCUCAUCAUCUCUUCCCAUAACAUUUAUCAUAUAUAAGAAACCAUAUAGACUCUCAAACAAAUUAAAUUUUAAAUAAUUUUCUUCCUAUCAUGGAUUAUUCACAAUUUAAAAAUAUAUUAUUAUUAUUAUUAUUAUGCAUUUUCAUCAACUUUUGCUUUCCACAAGCAAAAGGAAUUCACCAUUGGGGAAAAUAUACUAAUUCUAUAUAUAAUGGUAAGAACUAUCCUCUGAUGCUACAAUAUUAAAAAAAUACUCUUUAUGUCAAAACUAAAAAGUGGGGAGAAAUCUACUUUUGAUUUUAAACAUAUUUUAAGUUAUUUUAAAUUUAUUUUAAAUUAUUUUUAACCUUUUCAAACAAUUUCUAACUUAUUUUAAGUUGUUUUUAUCUCUUAAAAAUAUAUUUGACCAACUUUUAAAAUUUUAAGCACCUUCUAAGUCAUUAAUAUAGUAAAACUGGGCUAUUAGUGUUGAUGGUAUCUAUAAUCUAUAAUAUCUAUAAAUUGAAAUUUUCAUAAUCAGCCCCAUAAAUUUUGAUUUUUUUUCUUCUUUUAUAAAAGGGAAAUAAUUAUGUAAAUGUGACCAUAAACUCUAACAAAUCAAAGCUGAUAGCUCCUUUCUAGGAUUAUUCACAAAUUAAGACUAUAUCUUUUAUUAUGCAUUUUUUUCUUUUUUUGCUUUUCUUAAAUAAAAGGGUAUUCAAAAUAUAUCGUAUAUAAUAGCCUUCCAAUUGACUCUCCUGAUAAUUAAGAGUUCAUUGUUUUUCUAAAGAAAAUAAUAUAGGAUUUCAUGUACUUUCUCCCUAUGAAGAUAUUAAUUGGUCAUUUAAAGCAAAUCGCUGGAUUAUUGGAUUAUUAGUCGGUGAAAGGAUAAAAAUUAAUGAUAUUUAUAAUACUUUCAAAUGAAAAUCUUAUUAACUUUAAAAAUAUAAUAAUACUUUUCCUUUAAAUUUAUUGGAUUAUCUAUGUAUACAAAUUAGAUUUUUCAUUUUCUUCUUGUAACUUUCCUUAUAUCUAUUAUUCAAUUUUAAGAUUUCGAUUUUGAUUUCUCAAAUAUUUUUUUUUUUAAUAUUUAUCUUCUCAUCAUUUAUGUUGAGUAAUUUUGACAUGACAAUGGAACAGAGUAAGGGAUCAAUAGUUAGAAACUAAGAUGCUAAGUGACCAAUUAAUUAUUUUGUAUAUCAGUAUAUAUACACAAAUAUGUUAUUAUUGUAAUUGUUAACUUUUUUAUACGGAAUAAAUUAAUAAUAUUUUUUACAUCAAUUCAAACGAUAAAAACUAUCUAAAAUUUUCAAGGGAAGUUCUAAUAUCUUAGUUCGUACAAAUUGGUACAUCGAAAAUAUGAAAAUAAUGUGAAAUUAUCCUUUAAAAGAGUAUUUUAUCUCUUGAUAUGAAUUUUAAUGGCAUAAUUCUUUUAGGUGACAUUUUUUUUUUUGGUUAAAGUUUGAUUAAAAUGCUAACCAAAAAGAAUAUAUUACUUUAUUGACCUCUUUUAAGCAAUUGAUGUACUCAAUGAAGAAAAUAAUUGUGUUUCAAAUUCACAAAUUACCUCCAAAACUCAUUGUUAAUGAAAAUGAGUGUUAUAGAUAUAUUAACAGGUGAAUGAUAAUAAUUUAUAAUAUCGUAAAUUUUUUUUAUUAAAACCCUAUCAAUAUUAAAAAGUUAUAAUACUUCUUUGUUGAAUUGUGAAUUUCAAGUUUAUUGAAUUAUUAGAGUACAAAAUUUAAAUAUAUAAUUUUCUUGUUGUAACCUUUUUUUAUUUCGAUAAUUUAAUUUUAAGAUUUCUAUUUUCCAAACAUCUUUUACUUUUAACAUUUUCCUUCCCACCAUUCACGUGGAGAGAUUUCGAAACGCUAAUAAAACAAGAUAACAUAGGAGAGGAAAAAAUGAAUUUUGUUAAAAAGUUAAAAUUGUUCAAUGUUUAGAAGAGUUUUUUAUACUUUUUUUAAUAUAUUUAAUUCAUUUAAUAAAUUGUUAAAUACUUUACGUUUUGUAAACUAAUUUGAGGAUAAUUAAAAAAAUCUAGCAAAUUAAUAACCUAAAAUAGAUGGAGUAACUACGAUUUGAUUUAAUUGUGCUUCAUAACAAACGUUUGCAAAAAAUUGUCAGGUGCCUAUCUCCCAAAUAUCUCGCUCGCCGCUCUCCUUCAAUCUCUCGCUCGCUUCCUCACUUUUUAUACAAAUAUAAGUGUAUAAAAAUUGUUUCCAAUUGUAUAAAGCAGAGAAAAUUAAAUAUAUACAUAUAUUUUUGUUCCUCUCUCUCCCAACUUCCAGAUCUCGCUCCCCACUCUCCCAAAUCUCGCUCACCACGCUCACCUUUCUCACUUAUACAAACAGAAGCGAAAUGUAUAAAUUGCGUUUCUUUUUGUACAAAGCGUGAGAAAAAAUUGUAUGAACACAUGCAAAUAUAUAUAUUUUUGUCCUAUACACUUAUAAUUAUACAAUAAAAAUACUCCCCUGCCCAGUUUCUUUUGCCUUUCUCUCUUUCUCGUUUUAUACAGUUUUCAAAUUGUAUCUAAUUUCUCUCUUUCUCGUUUUAAACAAUUUGAUUCAAUUGUAUAUUCAUUGUCAAGUCUCUUUUGUCUUUCUUUCUUUCUCAUUUUAUACAAAUUCAAAUUGUAUACAAUCUUUCUAUACACUUAUAAUAAUACAAUUCAUUUUAUACACUUCGUUUUUAUACAGUUCUCUGUCCAAGUGUCUUUCUCUUUCUUGUUUUAUACACUUCAUUUUAUACAAUUUGCUUCAACUGUAUAUGUAUAACGAAUUAUAUAGUUUCUAUGUUUGCUAUGGAGCGCAAUUAUGCAAACUUUGUUAUAGCAUACAAAUAUAAAUUUUUUAUUUGCUAUAUGUGAAAGUUGCCCUUAAUAACCUUUAAUUUCUAUUCUUAAAUAUAUUUGUUUUGUGUCAAAUUCUAAUGAUACACUUAAUAUGGACCAUAUAAAAUAUAUAUACUAAGAGGCCGUUUAGAUUGACUUGAAAAAUAAUUUUUAUGUCAAAAUUAAAAAAUAGAGGGAGAUCUACUUUUGAUUUUUGACUUAUUUCAAAUCAUUUUUAAAUUUAUUUUACGCUAUUUUUAACCUUGUCAAGCACUUCCUAACUUAUUUUAAGUCAAAUUUUUUUAUUUAUCUAAAACUUUUUAAACAAAAAAACUGACAGAAAAAUAUAUUUAAUCAAUUUUUAACCCAAUGCAAAUGCCCUCUAAGUCAUUAAUAUAGUCAAACUGGGGUAUUAAUGUUGAUGGUAUCUAUAAUGUCUAUAAAUUGGAAUUUUCAUAAUCUGCCCCACAAAUUUUAAUUUUUUUCUUUCUUUUAACAAAGGGGAAUACUUGUAGCCAUAAACUCUAACAAACUAAAGCUGAAUAGCUUCUUCCUAUAAUGGAUUAUUCACAAGUUAAGACUAUAUACUUCUUAUGCAUUUUUUUCCUUUUUAGCUUUCCUCAAGCAAAAGGGUAUCCAAAAUAUACUGUUUGCGUAUAUAAUGGCCUUCCAUUUGACUCUCCUGAUAAAUUAAGAGUUCAUUGUUUUUCUAAAGAUAAUGAAAUAGGUUUUCAUGUACUUUCUCCCUAUGAAGAUAUUUCUUGGUCAUUUAAAUUAAAUCGUUUGAUUUUUUCGAGAACUACGUUCUAUUGCAGUUUUUGGUGGGGUAAAAGAGCCCAACAAAUUAUUGUAUUCAAUGAUGAAAAGUUGUGCGUUGGAGAUUCACAACUUCCUCAGUCCACACAUUAUUGUCAAUGGACAGCACAAGAGGAUGGUAUUUAUUUGAGUGGCGAACAAAGUUAUGGUUAUAGAUAUAUUAGCUGGUGAACGAAUAAAAAAUUAUGAUACUUUCUUAUGAAAAAUAUAAUAAUACUUUUCCUUUAAGUUUAUUGAAUUAAUUGCCUAUACAAAUUGAAUUUUUAAUUCUCUUGUUGUAACUUUACUUAAAUCUAUCGUUCACUUUUAAGAUUUCGAUUUUGAUUUCCCAAACAUUUUUUCUUCUCAUCAUUUAUGUCGAGUGAUUUUGACAAUGAAACAGAGUAAGGGAUUGAGUUUUAGUAAAUCAAAUGACUUCUAUUAAAUUUAGUCACUAAAUUAAGACAAUAGUUAGAAAUUAAAAUGCCAAGUGACCAAUUAAUUAUUUUGUAUAUCAAUAUAUAUACACGGAUACAUUAUUAUUAAUCGUUAUUUUUUGGUAUGAAAUAAAUCAAUAAUAUUUUUUACACUAAUUCGAAUGGUAAAAUCUAUCUAAAGAUCUUGAAGAAAGUUCUAACAUCUUAGUUCGUGUAAAAUUAAUACGUCUAAAGUAUAAAAAUAGUACGAAAUUAUUCUUUAAAAGAGUAUUUUAUCUAUUGAUAUGAAUUACAAUGGCACAAUUUUCUAGGUGAAUUUUAUUUUUAUGAAGUUUUUUUUAAAAAUGCUAACCAAAGAGAAUAUAUUACUUUAUUGACCUCUUUCAAGUUUAAGUUUUUUGUAUUACAUCAUAUUUAAGCUCAUUUUACUCUAAUAUUAUAAAAUAGAAAUUAUAUACUCUUUUUGUUUCUUUUUAAUUAAUAGAGUCUAUUCACAAUCAGAAAGUGUGAAUUACAUAGAGAUUUUUCUUAGGAAUUAAUAUGAAAAUUCGAAGAAAAAUAAGUUUCAUGUGAAUUUUCAUACUAAUAUUUAGAAAAAAUUCCCAUAUAAUUUACAGUUUAUUAUAGUGAUUAAUUUAUAGUGUUAAAUAUAACAGUUAAUAUAUUCUUUUAAAGGCACUAAGUCAAUAUUAAUAAAUUGAGAAAUAACAGAAAAAUAAAAUUAUUAUAUUUUAUUUAUUAAAAAUGAUAAAUAAAAAUAAAAAUCAAAUUAAAAAAUAGUCAAUAAAUCAUCAAAUGUAGUCAAUCAAUCAUACAAAUACUCCAAAAUUGGUCUGGGUGGGGGAUAUUAUGUCAAUUAAUGUUGAUAAUAUCAUUGUUCAUAAUUCUUUUUCUUCUUUUAUAAAAGGAGGGGUACUUAUUAUUAUUAUUAUUAUAAUAUAAAAAAGAAGCCAUAAACUAUAGCAAAUUAAAAUUGACAGUUUUUUCCUAUCAUGAAUUAUUCACAAUUCAAAACUAUAUUAUUGUUAUGUUUUUUUUUCUUUUUAUUGCUUUCCUCAAGCAAAAGGGAAUCAUCGUUGGAAGAAGUAUCCUGUUUUAAUAUAUAUGUAGACAUUGAAAUUUUGUAAGAGUCUACAAGAUGCGUUCAAUUCGAGUUGGGACUCUACAAAUUGUGUUCAACUCAGAUAAGGAUUCUUGGAGGCUUCUCAACCCUAAACCCCUAGUUUAUGCCUAAGGGUACUAAAUUCCGUUUAUGCCUAAGGGUACUAAAUUCCGUUAAAAGGCAUCUCGAAAAAUCCACAAAGAGAUCAAGAUAUCCACAAAGAGAUCAAGAUCUCGAAUACUCCACAAAUUGAUGGAUUAUUCAUAUAAAGAGAUCAAAUCUAAAUCAUCCUAGUUCAAGAAAUACACCACUAACGGCCAAUCAAGGGAGGAACAAAUUUAUAUUCACAAUCUUGAUGAAUAAAAUCACGUUUCUUCGAUUGUUUGCAUCAUGAUUGUGAGUACAAAUUUGUUCCUCCCUUGAUUCUACUCUCUAAUAUGAUUUAUCCAUGAUUCACGUUUCUUCGAUUGUUUGCAUCAUGAUUGUGAGUACAAAUCUGUUCUUCCCUUGAUUCUACUCUCUAAUAUGAUUUAUCCAUGAUUCGAGGGCCGUUAGUGGUGUAUUUCUCGAACUAGGAUGAUUUAGAUUUGAUCUCUUUAUAUGAAUAAUCCAUUGGAGUAUUCGAAAUCUUGAUCUCUUUGUGGAUUUUUCGAGAUGCCUUUUUAACGGAAUUUAGUACCCUUUAUAUAGGCAUAAACUAUGGGUUUAGGGUUGAGUAGCCUCCAAGAAUCCUUAUCUGAGUUGAACACAAUUUGUAGACUCCCAACUCGAAUUGAACGCAUCUUGUAGAGUCUUACAAAAUUUCAAUGUCUACAAUAUAAUGGCCUUCCAUUUGACUCUCUUAAAUUAUUCACUAUUAUUCUGCAGAUGACGAUUUAGAAUUUCAUUAACUUUUUGCUUAUUAAAAUUUCACUUGGAGAUUUAAAUUUAAUCAAUGGCUUUAGAUUAGGACAGUGUUUACUUAUCAUUUUUGGUGGGGUAAGAAAAAUAAAGCUUUUAUUGUAUUCAAUGAUUACGAUCAUUGCAUUUUGUAUUCGCCCUAGUGCUACAACAAAUUAUUGUCAAUGGACUAUACAAGAGGAUGGUAAUAUAUCGAAUGGUCGGAUAAAAAUUUAUGAUAUUGUAUUCUUUUAAUUGAAAUUUAUCUUUUAAAAAUAAUAAUAUUUUUCUUUUUUAAAUCGCUUAUUUUUAAGCUUAUUGAAUUGUUAACGUAUAAAAAAUAAAUUUAUAAUUUUAUGGUGUACCUUUGCCUUAACGAUCACUAGAACAUUAUAAAACCUGUUCUUUUAUUACCUUUUCCCUUUCCGUUAUUCAAGCUAAAAGUUUCAAAAAGAAAAUAAUUGAAUCUGAAAGUUUUGAUGAUAUAAUUGAUCACAAUAAUAGCAUAAAUAAACACAUCUAUUAAUAAUGGAUAAUACGAUUGAACUAUUUCUAAGAAUUUAAUAACAUAUUUGAUUUUUUUUCUUUUGAAAUCGUAUUUAUUAAAAUGUUUGUUCAAGUUUGAAAAGAAAUAAACAUGCUAACCAAUUGUAUGGAGCAGCCAUUUUUUAGACUUUUUUUUUUAAAGAAAUAUCAUUUCUAAUUGUAUUUCAAUAUUAUAAAAUAAAAUUAAACGUGAAAUUAAAGUAUAAAAUAUCGUAAAUUGUAUGGCGUAACCAUUUUUUAGAUUAUUUUUCCAGUAGCCAACAUUAAAAAAAUUCACCAAGGUACAUUAUUGGCUGACUAAUCAUUGUUUAAUCCUUUUUUUUAAAUAUUAUUUUUUUCAAUAACUUGAUAAAUCACAAGAGAAGAAAAAUAGUUCGUAUGUCCUCGUAAAGUUGGUAACAUUUUUGUUAUAUAUCUAAACAAAAAAUAUACCCCACUAGAGAAAGGGGGUUGGGGUUUGUUGAGGUCAAUAUGGUCAAUUCAUGUUUCCACCAACAAUUUUGGCCUAUAUAGUGGGGAAAAUAUGGUUAUUUUAAAAUGUAUAUAUAAGGUCAAAAGUUGAUGUACAUAAAUUAAAAAUGGAUAUUGUAGCUAUACCAAACACCUUACCAACACAAAAAUUUUACUUAUUCCUAAAGUUUUGAGCAAUGCAAUAUUCCAUUUCUUUGACUUCAUACACAUAAGGUUUCACCGAUAAUAAAAAGUUUCGAGUUUAAGUAAAUUUAAAUAAGUCGAAUUUUAUAUUGAAUGAGAGAAAAAGAGUUUCAAUUUAUUAAGUGGUUAUAUUCGUCUAAGGGAAUUAGAGAAAUGAGAUGAAAAAAAUUAUCCUUUUCACAAUCCCACUUAAUUUUAUUUUUUUUUUGAUCGAAACUUACCAACUCAGCUGAUUUGAAUUCAUUAUGUAAGUAGUCUGCAAUAUGAGGUGUUAAUGUUUACUACUAAGAACAAUUUCAUUAUUAAAAUUCAAACUCCAACUUUUAAGAGCUUACUUACAACUUUAGUCAUGGUGAGUAAAUUAUUAUUUUAAUUCUCAUAUUAAAAAUUAAAUGUAAAAAUAUCUUAUAUCUAGUCUUACUCUUAUAGACGUGCAGACCAAGUCGAGACCUUAUUUGUCAAUUAUUGUGUGCAUAAUAAACUGUUAAGUCCACUAUAUAAGCAAAAUUAGUGGACCAUUUUCUUAAUUUUUUAUUUGAAAAUCAAACUUUAAGAUGUUCUAAUUUAGAUUUUCAUGAAGAUUAAUAAUAUAAUUUUUAAUAAGGUGAUAUGUAUACCAACUUUAUUUUAAUAUUUUAUAUUGGCAGAAAAAUGAUUUAAAACACAAAAUCUGAAUUUCGUAAUACACAAAUUAUUAUUAAUAAAAUUGGUCAAUCUACAUAUACCUUUCAAAUUGGAACAUUUUGUAAUGAUAGCGUCACCAUAUCCUUGUAAGAGUAGGUAAGAUUUGAAAGGUUUGCCUAUGGUGUUUGUUGAUGUCAAUUUGGUCAACCUAUGUGGUUAGAUAAAAUUUUGAGUUCAAAUUUUAUUGACGAUGAAAAGUUUUUAAUAGCAAAUAUUUUUUUUUUGGAUAAAAUAUCGAAAUAAUCAACCAAAUAGAUUUUAUAUAUAGUAUGAUUAACCCUAAACAACAAAUUAUUCUUCAAAUAUUUGACAUUACUUCUUGGUCCCCCAAUGAAUAGCAAUUAAUUAGGUGUAUGAAAAUGUUGUUUCCCCCCUCCUGCCCCCCCCCCCCCUUUUUUUUUGUAUAUAUGUCAAAAUCACUCACCAUUCAAUAUGUUAUGUACUUUUUUUUUUUAAAAAAAAUUGAGUUCAUCUUUGGUUUAAUUUAAGCUCUAUUGAUUAUUGUUGAUUUUUAUUUCAUUAUUUUGUUACUACUGUUUAAUUCUUCAAAGAUAUGAAUAUGAUUUGAAUAUUUUAGAAUAGAUAUUCGUUAAUAAUAAAGUUAUAUUUUUAAAAUUAAGCAGAGCAAGAGGAUUAUAUUUUCGAAAGACAUUAAAAAAUUAGGAUCGAUAAGUAAAUUAUAAAGCUAGAAUAGAAGAAAUUGAUAAAUCCAACAAUUUCUUUAUUAUUAUAUAUAUAUAUAUAUAUAUAUAUAUAUAUAUAUAUAUAUAUAUAUAUAUAUAUAUAGUUUCUAUUAAAUUUCUUCAUGCUCCAGGCUUAAGAAAAGAAAUAAAUAAAGGAUGGGGUGGGUUGGUGUUCUUUUAUAUAAUAAUAAUAAUAAUAAUAAUACUCUAUUCUCCAACUUUUUUGUUCUCUAUUCCCUUUAAUUAUUUUGCUUCGAAUUAGUGGGACAUUAUGCAUAUAAUAUAGUACUAGCAUAAUUAAAAAAAAUAUUAAAAAAAUGUUUAUAUUGGGUGAUGAAAGGACAUAGAGAUUUGCGACGAAACGAAAUCGUUACCCUUUGUACAAUCCGUUCUUCUUUUCUAUAUAUAUAUAUUUAUAUUUAAAAUUAUGUUUUUUUAAUUUUGUUUAGUGAUUUUAUUUAUAAGUAUGUGAAUAUCUAUUAAUUUUUACAUAUAAAUAUGAUUUGAACCUAUAUUACCGUAGAUGAAUUUAGAGUAUAUAGUAGAUAGUGUUGGACUAAUAAGAUUUUUAUGGUGACUAUUUAAUAGUAUACGAUUUUUUUAAAAAUCUUCUACUUUUUUAUUAAAAAAAAAUUAAUUAUCACUUAACCUUUUAAAUUACAAAUAAUUUACGGCAUUAUUUUUUAUUAACAUAAAAAAAUUAAUAGAACUCCUAUUUUCUAAUUUGUAUGGCGGUGUGAGAGUGAGAGCACCGACGAGAUGGCCGUUACAUUGAGAUUUACAAAGUGUGGGUCCAAUAAUACCUGUCGGCCAACAUCUAUUAUUUAUUAAUCUUUACGUUUUAAAAAGAAUUAUAUAAUUUAAUUUAUAAAGAAGUUAAUUUUUUUUUUAAUUUUAUAAUUCUAAAUUAGAGUUACAUCAAAUAUAUUAAAUGUCAUUUAAUAUUAUAAUCUUAAAUAUGUCGCAUGAAAAAUUAAAGUUAAAGUGCUGACCAAAAAAAGAAAAGGAUCGUUCUUUUUGAAUUAUACUAAAAAAAAAUUAGGAUAUUUUUUUAAAUGAAAGAAGUAACUUUUUUGUAUCAGAGCCUAAUAAAUUUAUAUUCGUAUCGUUUUUAAAUUUUAUUCAAGAAAGAAUGCAUUGUAUCAAAAAGAAAAUUUUAAUACGCUUAAAUUUAAAAUCUCUUAUUGAAGACGGAACAACUUAAUCACGACAUUUGGCCAAACCUAAUUGAUUUUUUUCUUCCUAUUUUUUGAUAAACUGAAUAAUACUCUCCAUAAUAAUAAUAAAAACUAGCGUUUUUAGACUUUAUUAUAAUUUCAAAAUUUCUUUAUUUUAGUUAGUUAGAGACACAAGCUGCUGCAUCAAAAGAAAAACAAAACUCUUCAAUUUACAUCUUACAAGGACUGCAUUUUUUUACUGCUUCAAAAAGAAUUUUUUUUAUAUUAAUAUUUUAAUUUCAAUUUUCAUCAUGUAUAAGACUAUAAAAUUAAAUUAUAAAUUUAUAUAUUUAACAGAAUUUUAGUUUAAAAUUACAAAUUUUAAAAAUCUAUUUUAUUUUCUUAAACUUCAUAUGAAAUUAAAUUUAAUCAUUCUAUUUAAGCGAAGAAAAUAAUUAUUGUUCAAAUAAUUUGACAAAACUAAUACAGGUAUGACAAAAUAAUGAAAUAAUGCCAGUUUAGUGUCUGUGCUCGACUAUAGAUUGAUUUACUAUCUUUAGUCGUGUCUUUGAGAUGCAUCCACAAGAGAAGUUAAAGUAGGUUUUGAUAAGUGGCGGAUCUAAAAAUUUUAAUAAGAAAAUUUGAUAUGUGAAGAAUUAAAUAUAUGAAAUAAUUAAAUAGGUUUAACAUUUAUAAUAUAUUUUUAUAUGAUUAGAAUAAUUUAGAUAUAUAUAGGAAAUGUGAUCUCCUUCACCUAUUUUGUAGAUCUAAUUUUUUUAGAUUUUAAAUCCCUUAUCGAAACUUUUGGCUUCACCUUUACAUAAAAUAUAAUUUAAUCAUGUAUACAUAGUAAAAAAAAUUCGUCGAAGCGGUUCGGAUGAAUCUCCUAUCAGAGGGCUAGCUCCGCCCCUGAUUUUGAUAAUCCUAAAAUAAGGUAAAAGUACAGAAAUCUCAUAUAUUUAGGUUAUAUUUUAUCAAAAAUUUCUCAUUUAUAAAAAUUAAAAUUUGUAUUGUCCUUAAAUAUAUAUUUUUAUUAUCUGAUAUAUUACUUAAUAGAAAAAAUAUAUAUGGGAGUGGAUGAAUGGAGAGCCCCGAGUAGUUUAUUGGACAAAUCAAAUUAACGUGUGAUAAUACUUUUCAGCAUCAAAAGUUUUCUUCUAUCACGAGAGAAAAUGAAUAUAUAUUCGAGAGAGGACCAGGAUUUAAUCUAAACUAAAACAUGUAAAAAAAUAUUUAAUAAAAAUUACUAAUAAACUUUAUCAGAUCUACCAAAACCAAUAAAUUCCCUUAUAAAAAUUAGAGAUCUGAAACAAAUCUUGACCGUCCAUUUCCACAAUCAAACCUAUUUAUACCACUCAUUUCCGCCCUAAAUUUCUUGCCACAAUUCUUCUUCUUCCCUGAAAAACCCCAAAGGAAGAAGAGAAAAGCCUCUCAGAUCUCAUCUUAAACCCUUUCUUUUCUCUUAUACUCGCCUUACCCAUGGCUCUACUCGUUGAGAAGACCACCUCUGGCCGCGAGUACAAGGUGAAGGACAUGUCUCAGGCUGACUUCGGCAGGCUCGAAAUCGAGCUUGCUGAAGUUGAAAUGCCUGGUCUCAUGGCUUCACGUGCUGAAUUUGGCCCUUCACAGCCCUUUAAAGGUGCAAAGAUCACUGGAUCUCUGCAUAUGACUAUCCAAACUGCUGUCCUUAUUGAAACCCUAACUGCUUUGGGUGCUGAAGUUAGAUGGUGUUCUUGCAACAUCUUCUCAACUCAGGACCAUGCUGCAGCAGCCAUUGCACGUGACAGUGCUGCUGUCUUUGCCUGGAAAGGUGAGACUUUGCAGGAGUACUGGUGGUGUACUGAGAGGGCACUUGACUGGGGUCCAGGUGGUGGUCCUGAUCUGAUUGUUGAUGAUGGAGGUGAUGCUACUCUGUUGAUUCAUGAGGGAGUUAAGGCUGAAGAGGAGUUUGCUAAGAAUGGAACAGUCCCAGAUCCCACUUCUACUGACAAUGUUGAGUUUCAACUUGUGCUUACUAUUAUUAAGGAGAGCUUAAAGACUGAUCCAUUAAGGUACACUAAGAUGAAGGAGAGACUUGUUGGUGUUUCUGAGGAAACUACCACUGGUGUUAAGAGGCUUUACCAAAUGCAGGCUAAUGGAUCUUUGCUUUUUCCUGCUAUCAAUGUUAAUGACUCUGUUACCAAGAGCAAGGUAUAUUAUAUGUGCUUUCUAACUUAUUGUUUUGAUUCUUAUGCUUCAGAUCUAUGUGAAUUGGUUGUGUGUAGUGUUCAUGUGCUAGUUAUACAUAUAGAUCUGUUAUGAAAUGAUUGAUAAUUGCUUGGAUCUGAUACAGAGGAACUAUACUGUUAACUUAAUGUUGAUUGAUUUGUACUUAUUGUACAAGUGCAAUGUAUAUUUGAGUUGAAUCUUAUUAAUGAAUCAUGAAUCUUCUACUGUUUUGGUAAUGUUUGAGGAAUAAAUGCUAUUGCCUUUUGAAAAGCUAAAAGUUUUCAUCUUUUCUAAUUGGAGUGCGUGGUUAUAUAGUCACUGAUUAGAAAAUUUUGUAAGAUAUUUAUGUGAUGAUGCAUAUUUCACUAGAUCCGUAUUGUUAAGCAUAGAAAAGAUGGUUUCUAAAAUGUCUGAUCUUGUUACAUGAAGAAAUGGUACUUAUUUAACCUCAUAAGUUCAUGACUUUAUUGUAUUGAUUGUUUGCUUAAAGUGGAAGAAUGGUGAAGUGUAUAGUUUUUCACUUGAUUAGUUGAAGAAUGACAACUUGAUUAGCUUAGAUAGGUUUACUUAUAGCUCCAUUUGGAAAAGCUAUUUACAGUAGAUGCAUAAAGUAGUAGAUCUUGAUUAUUAUAUUUAUACCAGGGUCAUGUUUGUUAUUAAGCUCAUUGAUUGACAAUUGUAUUGAUCUGUUUGGUUUGCAGUUUGACAACUUGUAUGGAUGCCGCCACUCACUUCCCGAUGGUCUCAUGAGGGCUACUGAUGUUAUGAUUGCUGGAAAGGUUGCUCUUGUUGCUGGUUAUGGAGAUGUCGGCAAGGGAUGUGCUGCUGCCAUGAAACAAGCUGGUGCCCGUGUGAUUGUGACUGAGAUUGACCCAAUCUGUGCUCUCCAGGCUACCAUGGAAGGCCUCCAGGUUCUUCCUCUUGAGGAUGUUGUUUCUGAGGUUGAUAUCUUUGUGACCACCACCGGUAACAAGGACAUCAUCAUGGUUGACCACAUGAGGAAGAUGAAGAACAAUGCCAUUGUCUGCAACAUUGGUCACUUUGACAACGAAAUCGACAUGCAUGGUCUUGAAACCUUCCCUGGUGUGAAGAGGAUCACAAUCAAGCCACAAACCGACAGAUGGGUCUUCCCAGACACCAACAGUGGCAUCAUUGUGUUGGCCGAGGGUCGUCUCAUGAACUUGGGAUGUGCCACUGGACACCCCAGUUUUGUGAUGUCUUGCUCUUUCACUAACCAAGUCAUUGCCCAACUCGAGUUGUGGAAUGAGAGGAGCAGUGGCAAAUACGAGAAGAAGGUGUACGUCUUGCCAAAGCACCUUGACGAGAAGGUUGCUGCCCUUCAUCUUGGAAAGCUCGGAGCCAAGCUUACCAAACUCACCAAGGAUCAAGCUGACUACAUUAGCGUACCUGUUGAGGGUCCUUACAAGCCUGCUCACUACAGGUACUGAGGGGAAGAGACGCUCACAGUGGAACAACGAUACGGCGGCAUGAUUGUUUUGUUUUUAAUACUUUUAUUUUGUUUAGGUAGUGUGUUUUUAUUUUUGUUGGGGGAUAUUUUGCUGGAAAGUUGACCUAAAUGUGUUUGAAUAAUAUUUGAAUUAUGGUUGGGGUGGUGUCAUAUGAUAUUGUACCAAGUUAGAUUCAUUUGCUUUCUUGUUUCUAUAAAAUUUGCUUCAAGGAAACAAAGCAUCAUGUUUUUCAUUUUCACUACAUCUUUGCUUUAUUUACUUGAUGUUAUUGCAAUUCUUCUCUUAUUUGGCUUCUGUUUAUGCAUCCAUAUGAGAGAGUUCACUUCUAAGAGGGAACAUAUGGUUGACUCCUAGUGAAGAUUUGCGUAGUCUUUGAAAUUUAUAUUUGUGACUUUCGAAAAGCAUAAUAGAGAUGAAAGGAGUAAAUUACUGUACUUUUUAAAUUAAACUUUAGGGAUGGGAACCACCUUGGGGAUUAUCACACCUCAGCACUCAAAAUAACUCCUUUUUGUGAAUAAAACUCCUUUCGUUUCACAAAGAAAUUUAAGAAUAUAAAGUAAUUUUUGAAUUUUAUGAUUCUAAAUUGGAAUUUGAUUAAAUACAAAAUUGUACUUUGAUUUACUGACCUUAAACACGUCACAAGAGGCCAUUCUUUUCGAAAUAAACUAAAAAAAAAAGUCAUUCUUUUUUAAACGGAGAGAAUAUCAAAAAAAAAGAUGUCCUUUCGUUUCACAAAGAAGUUUAAGAAUAUAAAGGAAUUUUUGAAUUUUGUAAUUCUAAAUUAGAGUUUGGUCAAAUACAAAAUUUUAUUUUGAUCUACUGACCUUAAACACGUCACAAGAGGCUAUUCUUUUCAAAAUAAACUAAAAAAAAAAUCAUUCUUUUUUAAAUGAAGGAGUAUAAAAAAAAGAUGAAAGAUUCUUAAUUUUUUUUUUCUAAUUGUACAAAUAAUUAACUACAUUGAGCAUAAAUCUCUCUUUACAUCAUUUAAAAUGAUGACACACUUGAAUUUUUUUUUUUUUUGGGAGAAUUUGAAAUUUCAGAUCAUAAAUUUGAGCCCCAUUUAGCCAAAACAAUAAUUUGUAUGUACACUUCUUCUAACUAUUUUGUGCAAUCUAAAAGGACCUCAAAUUUGAGAUAUUUGGGUGAAAAAGUUGAAUGCUUGUUGGAAAAGAAAUAGCUUUUUUAAAGGGAGAACAAAACAAAAUUUGCUUGUAAAAAAAUAAAGUAAUUAUAAACUUAUUUGCCUAAAAUUAAAUGAUCUUUCACCAACCACCACCACCAAAUUUUCUUUGUUUUUUUCAACUUCAUUUCACCUAAUGCUAUCCAAUUAGAUAAGAUAGUCUAAUUAACCAUGGUUUAAUAAAAGAAACAUCAUGCAUCUAUUAAUUAUGGUUUGAGUUCGAGUUCUAAUAUAUAUGUAAAAACUUGAUAGAAAAGAAAAUCCUUCUGUUUUGAAUGAAUAUUAUGUAAUGGAAAAUCGAAUUAAUUGAACUCUAAAUAUCAACAAAUAUAUAGGGAAAUUUUAUAAGUGAGGUUUGUGAGAAUAGAGUAUAUGCAAAUUUUAUUAUUAUCAUAUGGAGGUAGAUACACUAUUUUCAAAAGACCGUCGACUCUAAUACAACUAUUUAAAUAUAACGAGAAAAUUAUGAUACGCCACAAAAAAUAGUAUCAAGUCUACUAAAAAGGAGCAACAACAAUAAUAAAAGAUGCAUCAAUUGAAACGUAAUAAAUAAUAAAUAUACUAAGAUAGAUUAUUAAAAACGAUGAUGUAGUAAAGUUUGAAACUAAUUUUAUUCUUUGUAAGGAAAAAUUGUAGUACUUUCUCCGUUUCACAAAGAAUGAUCUAAUUUGACUUAACACGAAGUUUAAGAAAAUAAAGAAGACUUUUGAUCAUGUGAUCUCAAAUUAAAGUUAUGUCAAAUGUAUAAAAUUACACUUUAAUAUUGUGGCCUUAUAUAUGUUAUCUAGAAAAUUAUUACCAAAAAAAAGAAAAAUAUAAUUUUUUUGAAACACUGAAUCAGAAAAAAAAUAAAAUUGUAGUCACUAUUGUGAGUCACUUUAAUUAAAGACAACAUGGUCCUUUUGCCGCACCGCAAUUUGGAAAUUAAGAUGUGCACUUAUAGUAGCUAAUUCAAUUUUAUUGGGUUCAUGUGGGAGACGUUAAAAUAAUCGUAUUGUUGAAUAUUUUAUCUUUUUUACUUUUAAUUUAAUAGAGUGUUUUUAUAACAUGGUAAAAAAUAUCGCUUAAUAAAUCACACAUUUGAAAACAUGAACAAUAGCCUGACACAAGUAAACAUGCAAAGGUUUCGACAUGUAAAAGGGGAGUUCUUGUGAGCAUAGUUCAUAUUCAUUUAUCUCUAAAAUGUAUAAGGUGGAGGCUCAACGUAUAAUUUUUGAGACUCAUUUUAGCUGUGCUCAAACAUUAUUCAUUAUUUUCUCGAGGACAAUUUUUCUUAAUUAUACCUAUACUGAUUGCCACGAAUAUUAACAUUUUUUUUUCAAGGUAAUGUUUGAUUUCCUGAAAUAUGUUACAUUUGAGAGAAAAAAGAGAUUAAUCAUUGCAUUCAUCCAUAAAAUACAAUGUUAUAAUUUGGUUCAUGAACUAUCAUUGGUAUCUUGAUCACAAAUAUAUCUUUCCAUUAAUGUACAAAUUUUACACAAAAAAUACAAUAAAAACCUUCAGAGCUUUAUGGAUCAAUUGCUAAAUGUAAGACAAAUUCAAACAAAUCGUAUUUAGAAUGAAUAGGUUAAAAAUAUUUGAACUAUUAUACUUUCACGAGUUACAUGUAUCUAAUAGCCGUAUGUUCCUUUUAUAUCACCAAACAAUAAUUUCGUGUAUAUUAAAAAACCCACCAUCACAUAACUACAUGUGUGUCUAUUACACACCCAAUUUACCUAAAAACAAUGCCAACUAACGAGGGGGUUUUAUUAUAGAGAGAAUUAUUAUUCCAAGCGUUAAUAUAUUGAGAUCUCUUUCACUCUUAAUCAAAUAAAAUUCGAAAUCAAAAAAUGAAAAAUGCAAGGGAGUAUUAAUUACAAGAAAAUAUGCUACUACAUCAUCCUUUCUCAUUCGUGUCUGAUAUUCAUAUUGAAGUCUAACUAAUUCAGGUUCACAUCACAUAAAAUCUCGUUCAUAAAAAAAUAUUCAAAUAUAAAUGAGAUUUGAUUAAGCAAAAUGACUAAUCUUUUUCUACCCCAUCAUCGCUACCAACCAACCAACUCCUAGAAAUAAAUUUAAAAACAUCACCUUAAUGAAAAAAUAAACUAAGCACUUCCAAUUUUGAAAAGAAAAUACAUUCAUCCAAUCAAAAUUUUAGAUAUUUUUUAUUUAUCAAAUUUGUAGGUCUACCAAACCUCAAUUUAAUCCAAUCAACUAUUCAGAUCUGAAACAAAUCUUGACCGUCCAUUUCCAUCAGAGAAGCCUAUUUAUACCAAUCACUUCCUUCCCUUAUUUCUUGCAACACUCUUCUUCUUCCUUAAAACCCAAAGGAAGAAAAGAAAAUCGCCUCUUUCUGUCAAUUUCAUCUCAAAAUCUCCCAUUUUCUCUCAGUUUUUCUCUUAUACUCGCCUUACCCAUGGCUCUACUCGUUGAGAAGACCACCUCUGGCCGCGAGUACAAGGUGAAGGACAUGUCCCAGGCUGACUUCGGCAGGCUCGAAAUCGAGCUUGCCGAAGUUGAAAUGCCUGGUCUCAUGGCUUCCCGUGCUGAAUUUGGCCCUUCACAGCCCUUUAAAGGUGCAAAGAUCACUGGAUCUCUGCAUAUGACUAUCCAAACUGCUGUUCUUAUUGAAACCCUAACUGCUUUGGGUGCUGAAGUUAGAUGGUGUUCUUGCAACAUCUUCUCAACUCAGGACCAUGCUGCAGCAGCCAUUGCACGUGACAGUGCUGCUGUUUUUGCCUGGAAAGGUGAGACUUUGCAGGAGUACUGGUGGUGUACUGAGAGGGCACUUGAUUGGGGUCCAGGUGGUGGUCCUGAUCUGAUUGUUGAUGAUGGAGGUGAUGCUACUCUGUUGAUUCAUGAGGGUGUUAAGGCUGAAGAGGAGUUUGCUAAGAAUGGAACAAUCCCAGAUCCUAGUUCUACUGAUAAUGUUGAGUUUCAACUUGUGCUUACUAUUAUUAAGGAGAGUUUAAAGACUGAUCCUUUAAAAUACACUAAGAUGAAGGAGAGACUUGUUGGUGUUUCUGAGGAAACUACCACUGGUGUUAAGAGGCUUUACCAAAUGCAGGCUAAUGGAACUUUGCUUUUCCCUGCUAUUAAUGUUAAUGACUCUGUUACCAAGAGCAAGGUAUGU